GGGUCGUUAGCUCAGUUGGUAGAGCAGUUGAUUUUAAUCAAUUGGUCGCAGGUUCGAAUCCUGCACGACCCACCA
rnacentral:tRNA from 1 species